rnacentral:rRNA from 1 species
CAAAGAAUGAUUGAAAAACAAUAUCAAAUAUGAUGUUGGUUUAGAUUAAACGCUAUAUAGAGACAUAACACAUGCAUAUCAUUUAUAAGAAAUGGUGAAAGGUGAGUAAAAAGAAAUAUAAACAUAUUUCAUAAAGAUGUAGGUAUUAGUAAAACUAGCCUUAGAACUUUAAUCGAUGAUGAAUAGUCAGAACGAUCACAUUGCUAAUGAAAGCAACUACUAAUAGUAGCAGCAGUGAGGAAUAAUUGACAAUGACCUAACGGUUGAUCAUGUUAUCUAUAUUAAGGAUCUUAUAAUAAUAAGAUAAUAAACUUAAGAUUAUAAUUAAUAAUGAUAAUUAUAAUGAAUAGUCCAUACCAAUCUAUGUGCCAGCAGUAGCGGUUAGACAUGAUGGGCAAGCGUUAAUCGUAUAUGGCUUAAAGGGUCCGUAGAAUGAGAAAUAACUGAAUCAAGAAAUUGAUAAAGAAAUCUUAGAAUAAUUAAAAAUGAUAAUGUGAGUGUACUAAAGAGACGAAAUACAAUGACAGUACUGAAACAGCAGACAAAUCAAGAAUAAUUAUUGACAUUGUGGGACGUAGGCUACGGUCGCGAUACAGAUUCGAUACCUGUGUAGUCGUAGUUGUUAACCAUGUUUAUUAGAGAAUUAUGAAAAUUAUAAAUAAACCGCCAGCGUAGUAUACACGUAAGUGUGAAAUGCAAGACAUUAGACGGUUGUUGAUAAAGGUAGUGGAACAUGUUGUUUAAUUGGAUGAUCCUCCAUCAAUCUUACCUAAUUUUGAAUAUAUGUUACCACCCGCCGACAUAGUCGGCGGGAUUAACUUAUACAGGUGUUACAUUGUUGUCGUCAGCUCAUGCUAAAUAGUCGUAUUUACUUGCUAAAUGAGCGCAAUCUCUAUAAAUAUAUAUAUUAAUUAAAUAUAUAUAUUUUAAAUAAAUUAGAAACAUAAUUUGGAAGCAGAGAUGAAGACUAAUCAUCAUUACCCUUAUAAUUAUGGGCUAUAGACGUGUUACAAAGAUAUAUACAAAAAAUUAAAAAGUAUAUUAUGAGGCUAAAGAAAGCUACAAAUGGAUUAUAACCUGGAACUUGGUUAUAUGAAAAAGGAAUUACUAGUAAUCGUGUUAAAGAGAAACACGGUGAAAAUAACAUCAACUUCGCACUAAUCACUCAUCAAUAGCUUAGAUUAUAAGAGAAUAUUAAGAACUUAAAAAAGGAAUUACAUUUCGAAUUAUAAUAAUAAGCUGUAAGUUGAAAUACAGUUCGAGUAAGGGAACUUGCUCGGGAAGAAUAAAGAUU